rnacentral:rRNA from 1 species
GUGAGGAAUUUUCCGCAAUGGGCGAAAGCCUGACGGAGCAAUGCCGCGUGAAGGAUGAAGGCCUAUGGGUUGUAAACUUCUUUUCUCAGAAAAGAAUUAUGACGGUAUCUGAGGAAUAAGCAUCGGCUAACUCUGUGCCAGCAGCCGCGGUAAGACAGAGGAUGCAAGCGUUAUCCGGAAUGAUUGUGCGUAAAGCGUCUGUAGGUUGUUUAAAAAGUAUUCUGUCAAAGAUUAGGGCUUAACCCUAGAUAGGCAGAAUAAACUUUUAAGCUAGAGUUUGGUAGAGGCAGAGGGAAUUCCCGGUGGAGCGGUGAAAUGCGUAGAUAUCGGGAGGAACACCAAAGGCGAAGGCACUCUGCUGGGCCAAUACUAACACUGAGAGACGAAAGCGAGGGGAGCAAAUGGGAUUAGAUACCCGUGUAGUCC